rnacentral:misc_RNA from 1 species
AAGUCGUAACAAGGUUUCCGUAGGUGAACCUGCGGAAGGAUCAUUAACACUUUUUCAACGGUGUUGGUGUGUGUGUGUGUCACACACACAUCUCACUGCUUUAUCCAAAUACCCAACCUUUUUUGAAGUGCUGGUGGAGAUGGAACCGAUUGCAUUUUCUUGCCUCUGCUGCAAGAAAAUCGGUUGUGUUUUUUCUCCCUUCCAUUCUCAUUUUUCCUUUUUUUCAAACAAACCCCACAUUUCAUUGCUAAUGCUAUGACAAAAAAACACAAAACUACUUAUAAAAGUUAACUAAACAACUCUUAGCAACGGAUAUCUUGGCUCUC